UACGUAGGGUGCAAGCGUUAAUCGGAAUUACUGGGCGUAAAGCGUGCGCAGGCGGUUGUGCAAGACAGAUGUGAAAUCCCCGGGCUUAACCUGGGAACUGCAUUUGUGACUGCACGGCUAGAGUGUGUCAGAGGGGGGUAGAAUUCCACGUGUAGCAGUGAAAUGCGUAGAUAUGUGGAGGAAUACCGAUGGCGAAGGCAGCCCCCUGGGAUAACACUGACGCUCAUGCACCGAAAGCGUGGGGAGCAAACAGG
rnacentral:rRNA from 1 species